AUCCCCAGUUGCCAUCAGGUAAAGCUGGGAACUCUGGGGAGACUGCCGGUGAUAAACCGGAGGAAGCGGGGAUGACGUCAAGUCCUCAUGGCCCUUACAUCCCGGGCUACACACGUGCUACAAUGGCAGGUACAGAGGGCUGCGAAGCCGCGAGGUGGAAGCGAAUCCCAGAAAACCUCUCGUAGUCCGGAUUGGAGUCUGCAACUCGACUCCAUGAAGUCGGAAUCGCUAGUAAUCGCGAAUCAGAACGUCGCGGUGAAUACCGGUUCCCGGGCCUU
rnacentral:rRNA from 1 species